UGCCAGCCGCCGCGGUAAUACGUAGGAUGCAAGCGUUAUCCGGAAUUAUUGGGCGUAAAGCGCACGUAGGUGGCGCUGUAAGUUGGACGUGAAAGCUCUUGGCUCAACUAAGAGAGGUCGUUCAAAACUGCAGCGCUCGAGGUUGGAAGAGGAGAGUGGAAUUCCCGGUGUAGUGGUGGAAUGCGUAGAUAUCGGGAGGAACACCAGUGGCGAAGGCGACUCUCUGGUCCACACCUGACGCUGAGGUGCGAAAGCGUGGGGAGCGAACAGGAUUAGAUA
rnacentral:rRNA from 1 species